AAAAAAUCUUGAAAUCUAAUUCGACCUGUUUAUAUUUCAAGACCAAAUUUUCAAAACGUCGUAAGUAACAUUUUAAGCAAAAUUGAGAUUUUUCCAUGUAAUGAUGCCUUUCAUGGUCCUUAAUACGCACCAUUCGAAAAAAGUUAAUACAUUUAUUGAAACUGUUCUAGACUUAAAACAUAAAAAAAGACUGAAUUAGCAAACUGCUAAAAAAUUAACAUUCGUUACAUUAGUCGUUUGUCAGUGAAAGGACUGAAGUAACACACAUAACGCUUUACGGUUUCGUCAAAAGUAAACAUAACGUCGUAAGUCGCAAAAUUUGCCGCAACUUGAUGAUUGUUUCUUAAGUCAAACUAACUGUAAAUCAGUAUAGCUAGAAAAAUGUUUAUUUUGGGCAGUUCACCGUUCAAGUAGUCAGGUGUAUUAUAAACAACGGUCAAUCCCAGCUUCUAGUUACAUGGAAAAUCAAUUCGUAAAACAAGUAUCUGCAUCCGGAUCGUUUGCGAGCAAACAACAUUUCACCCAACCAACAUUUCACGCACUGUACAACGAUGCUUCCGGUUCCAUCAUCGAGCUUGAGUUGCACCUGCUACACCACAUCAUCUUAUCAUUGAGAAGAACUUUUAUCGAUUGCCCAUCGCAAUCUACGAACCGCUUUCUCUAUAUAUCCGCGAAUACAUUCGAGUAGCAUUCUUUUGCUAAAGGAAGCGGUUACAUAACUAGAUUCCUUUUACAUAAUGAACCAAAUGGGCUGCACGAUUCAUUUAUUAAUACAGUGCCUGAACCGCUUUGCCCAACGUACAAUGAUGCAUCCAGUGAUCGCCAACAUUGGCCACUCAAAACUACUGUAACCACUGUAACCGAGUCGACUAGGUUACAAUUUGGAGAAUCCGAAUUCAACUCGAACACCCAGCGCAAUCGCCGGAAAGCAAUUGAGGAACCUGGAUAGGGGAGGACAAGGCAAAAACGCCACCCGGGGCUAGAAGAGUACCCCUCAAUUUUAUUGCUAUUAUGCCUUUUUUCUCUCUAAAAAACCCCGCACACUUUUAAGCUAUAGUUCAAAGAAAGAUUUGAAAUUGAAAAAAUAUUAUAAAAAUAAUGAAUCUGAAAUACAGAAGACUUAGCAAAAGUUGGUGAAAACUUGGAUUUUCUUAUAAAACAUCAUCAUUAAAAAUAAAGUUUUUGAAAAGUUUUUUUAAUGAAAAUCUUGAGCAACUACACAUAAAUAUCUUCAAAGAAUAUUUGAGGUCCAUUUAAAAUAUGC